UGAAACUUCGUAGAUUUGGUCACU
rnacentral:miRNA from 1 species